GACGUAGGGCGCGAGCGUUGUCCGGAUUUAUUGGGCGUAAAGAGCUCGUAGGCGGCUUGUCGCGUCGACCGUGAAAACUCGCAGCUCAACUGCGAGCCUGCGGUCGAUACGGGCAGGCUAGAGUUCGGUAGGGGAGACUGGAAUUCCUGGUGUAGCGGUGAAAUGCGCAGAUAUCAGGAGGAACACCGAUGGCGAAGGCGGCAUCCUGGACCAACACUGACACUGAGGAGCGAAAGCCAGGGGAGCAAACGGG
rnacentral:rRNA from 1 species